UGACACACCGCGUCCUUGUGGGAUAACUAGUUAAAGGUUCAGAAUUUAAAAAAAAUCAGGCCAAAUUAGGCUAAUACAGACCGUAUUUAAAUUGCAUGAGUUAUGCAUGAACUCAAAAGCGCGGGAAUACUAGGCCGACUAUAAAUAGAUUUGUCAUUAUUUGAAACAAUCCGUACGUGAGGAUCGUGUAAAUCGCCUGUACAGAUUUCAGAUUUACAAUAUGACAACUGGUGUUGCAGCUCUCCUUUUGCUUGUUUGUCUUUCUGGUUUGAUGAUUGAUCAGACAGAAGGAGACUUUAUGACCUACGCAUGUGGUUGGGGAGGUUGUCCGUCGUCAUUUCUCUGUCAUCUUUGUUGUAACAAAUUGCGAGGUGACUGUGAUCGUGGA